CAGCCGUAAACUAUGCGCGUUAGGUGUAUCGGUGACCACGAGUUACCGAGGUGCCGAAGGGAAACCGUGAAACGUGCCGCCUGGGAAGUACGGUCGCAAGGCUGAAACUUAAAGGAAUUGGCGGGGGAGCACCACAACAGGUGGAGCCUGCGGUUUAAUUGGACUCAACGCCGGGAGCUCACCGGAUAGGACAGCAGAAUGAUUGCCGGGCUGAAGACCCUGCAUGACUAGCUGAGAGGAGGUGCAUGGCGUCAGUGACU
rnacentral:rRNA from 1 species